rnacentral:rRNA from 3 species
GGGUUGUGAGGUUAAGCGACUAAGCGUACACGGUGGAUGCCCUGGCAGUCAGAGGCGAUGAAGGGCGUGCUAAUCUGCGAUAAGCGCCGGUAAGGUGAUAUGAACCGUUAUAACCGGCGAUACCCGAAUGGGGAAACCCAGUGUGAUUCGUCACACUAUCAUUAACUGAAUCCAUAGGUUAAUGAGGCGAACCGGGGGAACUGAAACAUCUAAGUACCCCGAGGAAAAGAAAUCAACCGAGAUUCCCCCAGUAGCGGCGAGCGAACGGGGAGGAGCCCAGAGCCUGAAUCAGCAUGUGUGUUAGUGGAAGCGUCUGGAAAGGCGCGCGAUACAGGGUGACAGCCCCGUACACAAAAGCGCAUGUGCUGUGAGCUCGAUGAGUAGGGCGGGACACGUGGUAUCCUGUCUGAAUAUGGGGGGACCAUCCUCCAAGGCUAAAUACUCCUGACUGACCGAUAGUGAACCAGUACCGUGAGGGAAAGGCGAAAAGAACCCCGGCGAGGGGAGUGAAAAAGAACCUGAAACCGUGUACGUACAAGCAGUGGGAGCACCCUUUGGGUGUGACUGCGUACCUUUUGUAUAAUGGGUCAGCGACUUAUAUUCUGUAGCAAGGUUAACCGAAUAGGGGAGCCGGAGGGAAACCGAGUCUUAACCGGGCGUUAAGUUGCAGGGUAUAGACCCGAAACCCGGUGAUCUAGCCAUGGGCAGGUUGAAGGUUGGGUAACACUAACUGGAGGACCGAACCGACUAAUGUUGAAAAAUUAGCGGAUGACCUGUGGCUGGGGGUGAAAGGCCAAUCAAACCGGGAGAUAGCUGGUUCUCCCCGAAAGCUAUUUAGGUAGCGCCUCGUGAAUUCAUCUCCGGGGGUAGAGCACUGUUUCGGCUAGGGGGCCAUCCCGGCUUACCAACCCGAUGCAAACUGCGAAUACCGGAGAAUGUUAUCACGGGAGACACACGGCGGGUGCUAACGUCCGUCGUGAAGAGGGAAACAACCCAGACCGCCAGCUAAGGUCCCAAAGUCAUGGUUAAGUGGGAAACGAUGUGGGAAGGCCCAGACAGCCAGGAUGUUGGCUUAGAAGCAGCCAUCAUUUAAAGAAAGCGUAAUAGCUCACUGGUCGAGUCGGCCUGCGCGGAAGAUGUAACGGGGCUAAACCAUGCACCGAAGCUGCGGCAGCGACACUGUGUGUUGUUGGGUAGGGGAGCGUUCUGUAAGCCUGUGAAGGUGUGUCGUGAGGCAUGCUGGAGGUAUCAGAAGUGCGAAUGCUGACAUAAGUAACGAUAAAGCGGGUGAAAAGCCCGCUCGCCGGAAGACCAAGGGUUCCUGUCCAACGUUAAUCGGGGCAGGGUGAGUCGACCCCUAAGGCGAGGCCGAAAGGCGUAGUCGAUGGGAAACGGGUUAAUAUUCCCGUACUUGGUGUUACUGCGAAGGGGGGACGGAGAAGGCUAUGUUGGCCGGGCGACGGUUGUCCCGGUUUAAGCGUGUAGGUGUGUGUUCCAGGUAAAUCCGGUUCACUUUAACACUGAGGCGUGACGACGAGGCACUACGGUGCUGAAGCAACAAAUGCCCUGCUUCCAGGAAAA